CUUAAACAAGAUGGCUGCAAUAGUAAAUGAGCAUGGUUGCAUCUGAUGAAAACAUCGCUAGUCUUCUUUUAAUACUGAAAAGUGUUUAUUCAAUUGUUUAAAAACAGGUAGGAUAGUCAAGAAAAUUCUGAUGUCAUGCCAUGCAACUUCCUAUAAGUAACUAGAUUAAUUGAUCACAGCAGUGGCUUGCUUACUUCAGCCAAAUGUACUAAAACUAAACCAGUUCAAAGAAACUAAAUGCAAAUUCCUCCAUCCAUUUACUUUUGAUAAAGCUGAUUUGUAUGUCCUAGAAGGAAAUGAAUAAAAAUGAAGGAACAUUUAAAGAUUUAUAAAUUUUGUUCAAGAUUGUAACUUCUAAAUAAAACCACUAAAAAAUUCUCUAAGAGUUUUUUGUAGAGUUGGUUAUG